CAGUUCGGACUGUAGUCUGCAACCCGACUACACGAAGCUGGAAUCGCUAGUAAUCGCGGAUCAGAAUGCCGCGGUGAAUACGUUCCCGGGUCUUGUACACACCGCCCGUCACACCAUGGGAGUUGGGAAUGCCCGAAGCCGGUGACCUAACCGAAAGGGAGGAGCCGUCGAAGGCAGGCUUGAUAACUGGGGUGAAGUCGUAACAAGGUAAC
rnacentral:rRNA from 1 species